rnacentral:sRNA from 1 species
UGACUAGUAACAUUGACAGGCUUAGUAGC